ensembl:lncRNA TTTY8 testis expressed transcript, Y-linked 8
GCCUGUCUUUUCUGUGGGAUACACAGGACAGUGCCAUGAUUCUAGUAGAUGGUAGAUGUGAGCCAGCCCGAAGGAACAUCAAGGAGAGUUCCAGGAAUGAACCGUGAAAUCCCUAAGGAUCCAAAAGGAUAUGCAGAAAGAAGAGCAGCACGUCAUACCCAAGACCAACAUCUCUCAGUGUUUCACGCUAACCCAAGGAGAGACACUAGCAGUCUUCUCUGCAGGACCCCUUGAAUUUACAUUGAAUUCCAUCCCCAGCCGAGCAGGUGCUUAAAGUCAACAGGGGACACUCCAUUUUCUUGGAAUUUCAUUCUGGCAAAGAGGGUGUGAGCAGCAAUAAGGUGCUUCACAUCAUGAAGGGAUAUUUUUCCAUCAUCUUGGGAUUUCAUUCUGGGACAUAGAGUAUGAGCCACAAUAAGGUCAGAGAGGAGUGAGGAUACAAUCUUGUGAGGGGUGAACUGGGUCCAGCAACUUUGCCUGCAAAAAUAAAUAAAUUAAUUAAUUAAUUAGUAAAUGAA